UACGUAGGGCGCAAGCGUUAUCCGGAAUUAUUGGGCGUAAAGAGCUCGUAGGCGGUUUGUCGCGUCUGCCGUGAAAGUCCGGGCUCAACUCCGGAUCUGCGGUGGUACGGCAGACUAGAGUGAUGUAGGGGAGACUGGAAUUCCUGGUGUAGCGGUGAAAUGCGCAGAUAUCAGGAGGAACACCGAUGGCGAAGGCAGGUCUCUGGGCAUUAACUGACGCUGAGGAGCGAAAGCAUGGGGAGCGAACAGG
rnacentral:rRNA from 1 species